AUACUUACGUGGCUUGGGAGACACCACAAUAACGCAGCUGGUUUUACCAAUGUGAGGCUUAUCUCCUGAACUCCAGGUGUGCUGACACUUUCGAUUUCCCGAAAGGCAUGAAACUCUACAACAUACUUUGUGGUAGUAGGAGACUAUAUUCAUGCUCUCACCUA
ensembl:snRNA U1 U1 spliceosomal RNA